GCCGACAUAGCUCAAUCGGUAAGAGCGGUCGUUUCAUAAGCGACAGGUUCCUGGUUCGAUUCCAGGUGUCGGCACCA
rnacentral:tRNA from 1 species